rnacentral:rRNA from 1 species
GACGAACGCUGGCGGCGUGCCUAAUACAUGCAAGUCGAACGCACGGUUUAUACCGUAGCUUGCUACACCAUAGACUGUGAGUUGCGAACGGGUGAGUAACGCGUAGGUAACCUGCCUGGUAGCGGGGGAUAACUAUUGGAAACGAUAGCUAAUACCGCAUAAUAUUAAUUAUUGCAUGAUAAUUAAUUGCAAGGUGCAAUUGCACCACUACCAGAUGGACCUGCGUUGUAUUAGCUAGUAGGUGAGGUAACGGCGCACCUAGGCGGCGAUACAUAGCCGACCGGAGAGGGUGAGUAGCCAGACUGGGACGGUGACACGGCCCAGACGCAUAGGGGAGGCAGCAGUAGUGAAUCGGGGGGAAUGGACGAGAGUCUGACCAAGCAGCGCGGCGGGAGUGUAGAGGGUUGUCGGAUCGUAAAGCUCGGUUGUAAGAGAAGAACGGGUGUGAGAGUGGAAAGUUCACAGUGUGACGGUAACUGACCAGAAAGGGACGGCUAACUACGUG